AUGAAAACAGAGAAGGGAGAAGAAGAAAGGAAAGAAGAAGGGAAGAAAGAAGGGAGAAAGGGAGUUACUGGACUCCUACAACAGCUGGGCUACUGCCUUGUUGUUGCCACUGAUGCUGCCCUCCUUUGAAGCUGUUGGAAGUGUUGUGGUUGCUGUUGUUGCCCUCCUCUGAAGCUGUUGGAAGUGUUGUGGUUGUUGCUGCUCUAUGCACCAAUAGGUUAUCCAAGUACUACUGUUGCUGGGAGAUGGAACCAGAACUGCAUGGCUGCUGGUACUCAUCUGCACACCGAAGAAACAUAGAAUAGAUGAUGGAACCAAGGCUAAGGAACAAGUGAUCAUUACAAAGUGAAGCCGUGUACGCGAGAUACUUUCUAGCAGGAUAGAAACUCUUACUGGUCUGGAUUUUUGUAAUUAAUAAUUGUUGUAAGGUUUAUGUUAUUAUUUGUAACAUGUGGAUUCAAUACUUGUGGGCCUGUAAUAUUUUAUAUAUAUCAUAGUUAGAUGUUCACCA